UACAGAGGUCCCAAGCGUUGUUCGGAUUCACUGGGCGUAAAGCGUGCGCAGGCGGUUUGUAAGCCAGAUGUGAAUCCCCGGGCUUAACCUGGAAUGGCAUUGGGACUGCAAGGCUUGAGUGCGGCAGAGGAGACGUGGAAUUCCUGGUGUAGCAGUGAAAUGCGGUAGAUAUCAGGAGGAACACCGAUGGCGAAGGCAGGUCUCUGGGCUGACACUGACGGCUCAUGCA
rnacentral:rRNA from 1 species